AAAGAAGCAGCAGCAGUCAAGCAGUCCGCGAAAGAAGCCAUCACGCGCACAGUGAGAAGCUACAUACACCCUAAAGGCUCUUUUAAGAGCCAUACUCAACGUCUUUGCCCUUCAGCUACACACACCCCAAAUGUUCUUAGCCAUAUUACCCAGCGUCUUUGGCUUUAUUUUGCAUUUUCCGCCACUGCCUCCAGAGUUUUUUCU